rnacentral:rRNA from 1 species
UACAGAGGUCCCGAGCGUUGUUCGGAUUCAUUGGGCGUAAAGGGUGCGUAGGCGGCGCGGUGAGUCGGGUGUGAAAUCUCGGAGCUUAACUCCGAAACUGCAUUCGAUACUGCCGUGCUUGAGGACUGGAGAGGAGACUGGAAUUUACGGUGUAGCGGUGAAAUGCGUAGAUAUCGGAAGGAACAUCAGUGGCGAAAGCGGCUUCCUGGACCAGUACCGACGUUCAGGCACGAAAGCGUGGGGAGCAAACAGG